rnacentral:rRNA from 1 species
GAUGAACGCUAGCGGGAGGCUUAACACAUGCAAGUCGAGGGGUAACAUGAUGUAGCAAUACGUUGAUGACGACCGGCGUACGGGUGAGUAACGCGUAUGCAACCUACCCUGUACUGGGGGAUAGCCCGGAGAAAUUCGGAUUAAUACCCCAUAAAGAUAUUUGGAGGCAUCUUUGAAUAUUUAAAGCUUCGGCGGUACGGGAUGGGCAUGCGUAACAUUAGCUGGUUGGUAGGGUAACGGCCUACCAAGGCGACGAUGUUUAGGGGUCCUGAGAGGGUGAUCCCCCACACUGGUACUGAGACACGGACCAGACUCCUACGGGUGGCUG